rnacentral:tRNA from 2 species
CUCCGGAAAGAGAGGA